rnacentral:rRNA from 1 species
UAAUACGGAGGAUCUAAGCGUUAUCCGGAAUCAUUGGGUUUAAAGGGUCCGUAGGUGGAUAAUUAAGUCAGAGGUGAAAGUUUGCGGCUCAACCGUAAAAUUGCCUUUGAUACUGGUUAUCUUGAACCAUUGUGAAGUGGUUAGAAUAUGUAGUGUAGCGGUGAAAUGCAUAGAUAUUACAUAGAAUACCAAUUGCGAAGGCAGAUCACUAACAAUGUAUUGACACUGAUGGACGAAAGCGUGGGGAGCGAACGGGAUUAGAUACCCCGGUAGUCCACGCCGUAAACGAUGGUCACUAGCUGUUCGGACUUCGGUCUGAGUGGCUAAGCGAAAGUGAUAAGUGACCCACCUGGGGAGUACGUUCGCAAGAAUG